GCUUACGGCCACACCACCCUGAGCGCGCCCGAUCUCGUCUGAUCUCGGAAGCUAAGCAGGGUCGGGCCUGGUUAGUACUUGGAUGGGAGACCGCCUGGGAAUACCAGGUGCGUAAGCU
rnacentral:rRNA from 1 species